GGGCGUUUGGUCUAGGGGUAUGAUUUUCGUUUCGCAUUGCAAUGUGCAAUUAUGAAAGGUCGUGGGUUCAAUUCCCACAACGUCCA